UCUGGCAACGAACACACUACGCUGUCUGUUUUCUCCCAUCCAAGGGCUAUCCGGGAUUCAAAACAAGUAUGAUCGAGUUCAUUGUGCUGUGCUUGAUGUCUCUUGUUUCCGCACAAGCGAUGAAUACAAGUUCCGUUUCUCCUGCCCCACCAUGCAAGGACAACCAACGUUGUUCACAGUGUGACAGCACGACGGGAUAUUGCCUCGAGUGUACUGCUGGGUAUUUUGAUACGAGAUGCAGUUCUGUUUGCAAUAAGAAUUGUUUGAAAAGGAAAUGCACACUUUCAAGCAACGGCAAUGGCAACUGUACUGUCGGUUGCGUAUCUGGAUACCUAGGUACAGCCUGCGAAAUAACAUGUGACAAUCCAGGAGGUAACUGUACAGCAUGUCCAGGUGGGUGUGAUGGAGGAUAUUGUCAGCUGGGCUCCUCAUGUGUGUCUGGAUGUGUAGACUCCUACUAUGGGGCUGGAUGUAAGACGUGUUCAAGUAGGUGCAAGUCCUGAAACAGGACGGCAGGAGAAUGUACUGAGUGUCACGCUCCAUAUGUUGGUCCGAAGUGCGAAUGUCCACCCUGCAAUGGAACAUAUGAAGAUUGUGAAAUGGGUGGCUGUAAACAAGCAUCGUAUGAGAAUGACGAUCAGAAGACAGGCAGUGUGCUGACUUGGCUGUUGGCAUCACUGCUACUCCCUGUAUCGGGCAUCUUGCUGACACUCUGUCUCUGUUACUGCAAGCGUUUCCCCAAACAAAGGGAACAGGAGGAGCACCAGGAUCAGAUGCAUCAAGAUGAGGUGGAGUAUCUGCAGUACUUACCUACAGUACAGGGAGAUACACUUAAUACUAACCGUCAUUCGAAUCAUGCCUAUUAUGACGUUAUCGAUGGCGAGAAGGGUCCCGCCAUUGUGUUCCUGUGACCGCUGAUUAUAUGUUCCCUCGUUUAUGUUGUAUGACUUAUCUAUACACAACUGUUCACUGUCUAUUGAGCUAUCAAUUCCCUAUUUUGUCAAGCGUCAGGUCGCGCUAGUUGUUGAUGGCGUUGCUUUGUCGGUUUUAUCAGUGGUGAUCUUCUGUUUGUUAUUCCGCCUUCAUUUAGCUGACCCUGUUCCCAAAGUAUACAGCACUAUACUACAACAUUAACGUUAAAAACACGUGAAGUAUAUAUGGUGAGCUUCAGAUCGAUCAUGAUGCCAUGAACAUUGAUGCCACUACCCUAUACAGUAUACGUCUUUACUACCAGCUGUUAAUACGUGUGUCUAUUAGCAAUGUG